rnacentral:rRNA from 1 species
GUAGCUUUGCACUGGACUUUGAGCCUGCUUGUGUAGGAUAGGUGGGAGGCUUUGAAGCGUGGACGCCAGUUCGCGUGGAGCCAUCCUUGAAAUACCACCCUGGCAUGCUUGAGGUUCUAACUCUGGUCCGUAAUCCGGAUCGAGGACAGUGUAUGGUGGGCAGUUUGACUGGGGCGGUCUCCUCCUAAAGAGUAACGGAGGAGUACGAAGGUGCGCUCAGACCGGUCGGAAAUCGGUCGUAGAGUAUAAAGGCAAAAGCGCGCUUGACUGCGAGACAGACACGUCGAGCAGGUACGAAAGUAGGUCUUAGUGAUCCGGUGGUUCUGUAUGGAAGGGCCAUCGCUCAACGGAUAAAAGGUACUCCGGGGAUAACAGGCUGAUACCGCCCAAGAGUUCAUAUCGACGGCGGUGUUUGGCACCUCGAUGUCGGCUCAUCACAUCCUGGGGCUGAAGCCGGUCCCAAGGGUAUGGCUGUUCGCCAUUUAAAGUGGUACGCGAGCUGGGUUUAGAACGUCGUGAGACAGUUCGGUCCCUAUCUGCCGUGGACGUUUGAGAUUUGAGAGGGGCUGCUCCUAGUACGAGAGGACCGGAGUGGACGAACCUCUGGUGUUCCGGUUGUCACGCCAGUGGCAUUGCCGGGUAGCUAUGUUCGGAAAAGAUAACCGCUGAAAGCAUCUAAGCGGGAAACUUGCCUCAAGAUGAGAUCUCACUGGGAACUUGAUUCCCCUGAAGGGCCGUCGAAGACUACGACGUUGAUAGGCUGGGUGUGUAAGCGUUGUGAGGCGUUGAGCUAACCAGUACUAAUUGCCCGUGAGGCUUGACCAU